rnacentral:rRNA from 1 species
CAGGCCUAACACAUGCAAGUCGAACGAUACCUUUCGGGGUAUAGUGGCGCACGGGUGCGUAACGCGUGGGAAUCUGCCCUUGGGUUCGGGAUAACCGUUGGAAACGACGGCUAAUACCGGAUGAUGACGUUAAGUCCAAAGAUUUAUCGCCCAGGGAUGAGCCCGCGUAGGAUUAGCUAGUUGGUGGGGUAAAGGCCUACCAAGGCGACGAUCCUUAGCUGGUCUGAGAGGAUGAUCAGCCACACUGGGACUGAGACACGGCCCAGACUCCUACGGGAGGCAGCAGUGGGGAAUAUUGGACAAUGGGCGAAAGCCUGAUCCAGCAAUGCCGCGUGAGUGAUGAAGGCCUUAGGGUUGUAAAGCUCUUUUACCCGUGAUGAUAAUGACAGUAGCGGGAGAAUAAGCCCCGGCUAACUCCGUGCCAGCAGCCGCGGUAAU